AUCAUUUUACAUAGGUAGGCCAAGGCGGUGUUAGGUGUUAGGGUGUUUUGCCCUGGUGGGAUUGAACCCCAGUCUACAGUGUAGAAAGCAGAGGUGUUAACCACAACACUAUCCCAACCAAUUCAGAUUCUCAAAACCAAAGAUACAGAGCAGUCUGUGUGUGACAUCAGUGGAGCAAGAGCCCCCACAACCCAAGCAGCCCAGCACAGUUGUGUCUUCACGCUAAGCUGGUAGAACAUUUUUGCCUUUAACAACAAAAGCACUGAAGUAUUAUCCAUAUUGUUACGUUUCAUUCUCACAUUGCUUUUUAUGUCACUUCAAAAAAGAACAUGCAUUUAAGGAAAAAAGUGAUACGCAAAUUGUUUAUGGCAUGCAAUGUAUGAUUAAUAUGACACUUGUUUUUGUGUUUUUCAGCUGUCCUACAUCUUAGACGAAUACAAGGAGGUGAACUUAAUGAAGUGGCCAGUUGGCAUAUACAGUGGCGCUUGAAAGUUACAUCGACCAUAAUGAAAUGAUCAAUAGGAGCCACCAUUGUCUUCCGCAGGACAUAUAUGCCAGUGUUUGCCAAAGGAUACAAAACAAAUCAAUGGAUCCAGAAGUGCGGUCAGUCACGUGGGUCCAGUGUCAGUGCUGUGGGGGUCAGUGACUGUGCUGGAGUGGAAACACU